GACGAACGCUGGCGGCGUGCCUAAUACAUGCAAGUAGAACGCACAGUUUAUACCGUAGCUUGCUACACCAUAGACUGUGAGUUGCGAACGGGUGAGUAACGCGUAGGUAACCUGCCUGGUAGCGGGGAUAACUAUUGGAAACGAUAGCUAAUACCGCAUAAUAUUAAUUAUUGCAUGAUAAUUAAUUGAAAGGUGCAAUUGCACCACUACCAGAUGGACCUGCGUUGUAUUAGCUAGUAGGUGAGGUAACGGCUCACCUAGGCGACGAUACAUAGCCGACCUGAGAGGGUGAUCGGCCACACUGGGACUGAGACACGGCCCAGACUCCUACGGGAGGCAGCAGUAGGGAAUCUUCGGCAAUGGACGAAAGUCUGACCGAGCAACGCCGCGUGAGUGAAGAAGGUUUUCGGAUCGUAAAGCUCUGUUGUAAGAGAAGAACGGGUGUGAGAGUGGAAAGUUCACACUGUGACGGUAUCUUACCAGAAAGGGGCGGCUAACUACGUG
rnacentral:rRNA from 1 species